CCAGUGUUCAGACUACCUGUCC
rnacentral:miRNA from 1 species